rnacentral:tRNA from 1 species
UCCCCGGUAGCUCAACGGUAGAGUGGGCGGCUGUUAACCGCUUGGUUGCAGGUUCGAGUCCUGCCCGGGGAGCCA